rnacentral:lncRNA from 10 species
GGCCAGAGAAACCAAGGUGAUUUUUGAGGAAGCAGGGAAGAUAUCACUAGGAAGGGAGACCUCCCUGGAAGCCAUAGUGAGUGAUCCACUGGUUCAGAUCUCUCAACCGGUUCAGAAGCUGUGCUGACCAUUCAGGGCUGGGCAAGGACAAACAAUCAGAAACUACAACGCCCAGGAAAACAGCUGAAAAGAGAUCAUCAGCCAGCACUGCAGGGGCCUCAUAAAGCAGGCAGGUACCCUUCCUGUCUUCCCCAGUCAUCCUGGAUACCAAAUAGCCAUGUCUAUGCCCAAGGAUGCCUAUAAAGGAAGAACUCAAAACAGAACUCCAUGGAGCUUCAGAAUCUAAGAGAAAACUUACCCACAAUUCUCAGUUGCUUCGAGAGAACAAUGGACACCCUGCGCCCGUGUCUUUUCAAAUAAUAGUAAUUUGUAUGGCCAGCUUCCCUAGAAAACAAAGCCUGAGCAAAUCUUCAUAAGCCAAGAUGUUUGAGAGGAGCUCAAUCCCAGUGAAGCAGGAGUGAAGGGGAAAUGCAGAAAGGCCGGGAAGGAGGGAGGGUGAACACAGAGAGUGCAUGACUGGAGGACGGGACACAUUUUGGUGACAAGUUGACUGUAUCUUCAAACCGUCUAUCUGAGGCAUGAUGCAAGAGUUAUCUACGGAGGGUACCCACCGCUUCCAGCUCUCAUUGGUCGAGCUCUCACAGGGGGCGGUAACGCCUCCCUUCCUCCAGUGCCAAUCAGAUCCUUCAGAGCCUCCAGUCUUUGCAGCCCUAAGGAAGCUUCCGCACAAGGCAGGAGUCCUGCAGAGCGACUAGCAGGGCGCAUCAGGGAAGGCGCACGCAGGUUGGAGUGGCUGCCAUGAGAAACCAGUGACGGCGCACGACUCUCUGGCCAAAAAGCGAGACUAGCGCCCCAGCCCCGGAUGGUGAACCUACAGACUCCAGCACGGUGCUUGGCAUAGGCCUAUCUCCUGUAUUCAAUGGCACAUUUACAACGCUUGUGAAGUUCAUCUGUUAGUUACAGUGCAUUGGCUCCACUUGGCGUGACCCACUACAGAUGUUCAAACUUUUACGUGUUUUGAGACUAGGAAGAAAUAUGUUAAUUUAUAAUUUAAUUAAAAUCAAUAACUCAUUCUUGAAAAUUAAUCUGAAGAAGUUCCAUGAAUUAGGAGAGGAGAGGAAAUCUAAAUAAUUGACCGUAAGGAAUUAGUUGAGUCAGUGAUGAUGCAUCAACUUAAGGGACUCUUACCUCAUUUUAAAAGGGCGAUUAGUUUAAAAUAUUGCCAUAUGCUUUUGACAUAAUGUUAAAUUUAAAAAGCGGAAGAUGAAGCACCUUCCAAUUGUGAUUCAAAAUUGCAUUGGUCAGGAGAGUCAAAGUCACACCACAGUAAGAAACAAUAUGGUUACAUAAACGGAUACAACACACACUGGGGCCUUUGCAGGUGUAUGGUGGGAGGAGGGAGAGGAUCAGCAAAAACAGCUAAUGGGUACUAGGUUUAAUACCUGAGUGAUAAAAUAGUCUGUACAACAAAUCCCCAUGACACAAGUUUACCUAUCUAGCAAACCUGCACUUGUACCCCUGAACUUAAAAUUAAAAAAAAAAAAAAAAAAAAGAAACAACCAAAAAAAUCCCAGCAGCUUAGGACAACAAGCCUUUGUUUAUUGCACACACACAUGCCAAGUAACCAUAUGACGUGAUAGCUAUGUUCAAUGGCUUCACUAUAGUAACCAUUGUACUAUCUACAGGAAUCCCAUAACCUCAUGUUGUAAACCUCAAAUAUACACAAUAACAUUUAUUUUUAAAAAGAAAAAGGAAGUCUCCUGCGUGUUCGGGAGGUUCUCCCAGACACUGUCCACACACAUUGCCCAUGAUUCUUCCUGUUGGGUUGGAAUCAGGUGGUGAAUGGCACUGCUCCCUUAACCACCAUGCUAUCCAGUCACUAGAAUUUCUGCCUAUUCCUGCGAACACAUGACUGUCCACAAUCAGAUAGCAUCAGACAUGUCAAGGUCAACCAUCAGACAAACCAGCAUUUAGAGGAUAAGCAAAAGAACAGGGGACCCUGCCCUGGAUGAGACUCACAGUGGUGCUGAGGGAUGGAGGGAGUUUCUGCUCAGACAGCACAAGCACAACGGACACCGUAAGUCAGCCUGUCCUUGUCCGCUUCGACCCAGUGUGCUUACUGACACAUACCUGGAGUGCCUGUUCAUGUGCAUAGCCCAUCACCCUGACAGCACAACUACAAUCUUUGGACUCCGUGUCAUAGUUCAUCUUGUGCUGUCAGUUUGGAUCCCGGUGCUAAUGUUACUCAUGAGAGUCCAAGAAGGUUGAGUCCAAGACAAUGGAUGAUAAUCGCCCAACUUACUACAGCACAAACACUUUGUGGAAAUGGGCACUUAACUGAAAAUCUCUUAUUCCAGCAAGAGAGGUCAUAUUUUCCAUUUAUUUUACAACACUUCUUCAGAUCCUAUGUGGAGGUCUGUUUUCCUAGAAAAGAUCAUUUAUUCCAGUCAUUUAGAACUAAAAUUCAAAAUCUGUGCACCCUUGGUUAUUUAAUAUAGAUAACGGGAAAAAAAUCUGAGCAUAUUAUGGGUUAUUAAACACUAAAAUGUGCUUCUGAAAAAAAUUGCAGGAUAUCUUCAUGUGAAAUUCUUUGGUUCCCUAUGGAGCCAGGGAUCCUGACUAGUUGCUUCUUGAGGUGUUUCCCAAACCUGGGAUGCUAUGAUAGGGGCCAUAAAAUCAAUAUGCUGAGUUGAAAAAGAUUAUAUCUCAGCAGCUGGUGAAGAAAGCAAACCUAAAAUAUUUUAGAUAAGCAUUUAUUGUUCACUAAAUAAGUGUGCUGCCUUAGCAAAAGGAAUUACCCAGACUGCAAAACUGCAACAAACUUGGAAAAACCUUUAAAUAUACAGAAUAUUUAAUAUAUCAUUUAAUGUGAAAAAAACGAAGAAAGUCUUUCCUUAAAGGAAAUAUCAAAUUUCUCUAAUCACAUUCUUGUUUAACAACAAGACUAUAGUUUAAAAAAAUUCAAAGGAAUAGCACUAAAUCCAAACUAUAAAAGAAUAUUAAUAUAUAAAUUAAGUGGCACAUAUCAUGCCAUACAGUUUUUUAAAACGACAUAUAGUGUUUUUAGCCUGGGCACAGUGGCUCGCACCUAUAAUUCCAGCACUUUGGGAGGCUGGGGCAGGUAGAUCACAUGAGGUCAGGAGUUUGAGACCAGCCUGGGCAACAUAGCAAGACCUUGUCUCUAUUUUUUAAAUCCAAAAAUAUUAGCCAGGCAUGGUGGUGCACGCCUGUGGUCCCAGUUACUCAGGAGGCUGAGGUGGGAGGAUCACUUGAGCCCAGGAGAUGGAGGCUGCAGUGAGUUAUGACAGUGCCAUUGCACUUCAUCUUGGGCAACAGAGUGAGACCCUGUCUCCAGUAAAUAAAUAAAUAAAUAACAUAUGGUGUUUUUACAUUUCUUUAUAUUCAUAGAUAAAAUAUUCAAGCAAUUAUUUUUAUGUGUGGGUUGUGUUCUAAAAGUCACAAUGUAUUUUUCCUGAAGAACAAUGGUGUUUUUGAGGUCAGACUAUCUUCCAAAAGUUCAUUUAACUCAAAAUAUUAUAGAAAGAUAGUACAUUUGCAAACAAAGUUAAAGUAGACUAAACAAAAGUUAAGUAAUAAAGCAGACUGUCAAAUUAACAUACAAGAAACAGUAGCCUUCAAUACAAAAAAUAAUCAGAAGAUAUAAUGUAUGAGAGAGCCCCAUUUCCAGCAAGAAAAUAAAAUAUAAAAUACUUAAGAAUGAGCUUAACAAGAAAUUUGCAAAACCUCUAUAAGGAAAACUUUAAAAUACUCCUGAAGAAGAUUUCAAUAAACACAAAGACAUCCUUUGCUCUUUGGGAUAGGAUGAUUCAACCCAUCAUUAGUAUAUGAGUUCUUCCUCAGUUGAUUUAGAAACUUAACAUGAUUAAAAAUAAAUAAAUGACAGGCAUUUUAAUGGAGCUAGACCAGUCAAUACUAAAAUCAAUAGGAAAAAAUAAAAUGUUAGAAUAGUUAUGACAACAUUGAAAAAUAAAAACCAUAAGGAAGUGAAAUCCUACCAGAUACGAAAAUAGACUUUGAAGCCUCUAUAACUAAAGCAAUGUGGUUCUGGCACCUGAAUAGACUGACGGGCCAGUGGAAUCAAAUACAGAGUCCAGGAAUUGAUCCAAGAAAAAAUGGGAAUGUAAUGUAUGAUGAUGAUGGUGUCUUACAUUACUGGGGCAAAAAAUUCAAAAUAAGCCAUUUGAGGACAGGGGCAGUAGUUCACAUCUAUAAUUUCAGCACUUUGGGAGCCUUAAGCAGGAGGAACCCUUGAGCCCAGGAGUUCAAGACCAGCCUGGGCAAUGUAACAAGACCUUUCCCCGCCAACAGCCUUCCCCAUCUCUACAAAAAACAAACAAACAAACAAAUUAGUUGGGCAUGGUGGUAUACAACUGUAGUCCUAACAGUUCAGGAGGCUGAGGUAGGAGGAUCGGUUGAGCCCCCAGAGUUCAAGGCUGCAGGGAGCUAUGAUUAUGUUACUGCACACCAGCCUGGGUGACAGAGAGAGAGCCUGACUCUAAAACAAGCAAAAACAAAGACAUUUGAAAAAAAGAUGAAAUUGGAUCCUUAACUUGCACCAUACAAAAUAAGAAAUUCCAACUGACUUGAGAAAUAAUUGUUAAAAAUGAAACCAUGCAAGUACUAGAACACAUGGAAGGGUUCUUCCAUAACCCACCAUGGAUAAGGAAAGGUUCUAUUCAUUUAUCAAAUCUGGAUGUGAUAAAAGAUAAUAACAAUAUAUUUAAUUACAUAAAUAUGUGGUUUUUAUAGCUUAUAUGUAUUCUAUGUUAUGUAUAAUUGUGUUAAAAAAUAAAUGAUAUUCAAAUAUAUAUUUUGCAUUUCAGAAAUAUGUGAUGGCAAACUGGGAGAAAAUAUUUGCAGCAUGUAUGUAGUAGGUGAAAAGCACUGUCUUUUGGUCUUAGGAACCCAGUUAAGGGAUCUACUUGAGAUUUAAGAAGCAAGAAAUGGAAUACCAGGCAAAAACAAUAAAGUUGCACCAAGGUCUAUAUGGGAUUGACAGCAAGACAUUUUAUCUGAGCCCUAGUCAUUGUCCUGUGCAUUCUGAACCAGGUAGGAACUAGAGUCUACAUUUGGAAGGAACUGCAAAUGAGUGCCAAGUGAUCCAGUUGAAAAAUUAGAGACAUCAGCAAUUCCAUGAAGAUGUCACCACCCUAAGUGUCAAUAGAAUCCCUGUUAUAAUAGUAGGAUAUUGACCCAUG